rnacentral:tRNA from 1 species
UAAAAUCCUUCUAUCAAAAUAAUAAAAAUAAAAGAUCAAGUCCCUCUAUCCCCA